rnacentral:rRNA from 1 species
GACGAACGCUGGCGGCGUGCUUAACACAUGCAAGUCGAACGGAAAGGCCCUGCUUUUGUGGGGUGCUCGAGUGGCGAACGGGUGAGUAACACGUGAGUAACCUGCCCUUGACUUUGGGAUAACUUCAGGAAACUGGGGCUAAUACCGGAUAGGAGCUCCUGCUGCAUGGUGGGGGUUGGAAAGUUUCGGCGGUUGGGGAUGGACUCGCGGCUUAUCAGCUUGUUGGUGGGGUAGUGGCUUACCAAGGCUUUGACGGGUAGCCGGCCUGAGAGGGUGACCGGCCACAUUGGGACUGAGAUACGGCCCAGACUCCUACGGGAGGCAGCAGUGGGGAAUAUUGCACAAUGGGCGGAAGCCUGAUGCAGCAACGCCGCGUGCGGGAUGACGGCCUUCGGGUUGUAAACCGCUUUCGCCUGUGACGAAGCGUGAGUGACGGUAAUGGGUAAAGAAGCACCGGCUAACUACGUGCCAGCAGCCGCGGUGAUACGUAGGGUGCGAGCGUUGUCCCGAUUUAUUGGGCGUAAGGGCUCGUAGGUGGUUGAUCGCGUCGGAAGUGUAAUCUUGGGGCUUAACCCUGAGCGUGCUUUCGAUACGGGUUGACUUGAGGAAGGUAGGGGAGAAUGGAAUUCCUGGUGGAGCGGUGGAAUGCGCAUAUAUCAGGAGGAACACCAGUGGCGAAGGCGGUUCUCUGGGCCUUUCCUGACGCUGAGGAGCGAAAGCGUGGGGAGCGAACAGGCUUAGAUACCCUGGUAGUCCACGCUGUAAACGGUGGGUACUAGGUGUGGGGUCCAUUCCACGGGUUCCGUGCCGUAGCUAACGCUUUAAGUACCCCGCCUGGGGAGUACGGCCGCAAGGCUAAAACUCAAAGGAAUUGACGGGGCCCCGCACAAGCGGCGGAGCAUGCGGAUUAAUUCGAUGCAACGCGUAGAACCUUACCUGGGUUUGACAUGGAUCGGGAGCGCUCAGAGAUGGGUGUGCCUCUUUUGGGGUCGGUUCACAGGUGGUGCAUGGCUGUCGUCAGCUCGUGUCGUGAGAUGUUGGGUUAAGUCCCGCAACGAGCGCAACCCUUGUUCACUGUUGCCAGCACGUUAUGGUGGGGACUCAGUGGAGACCGCCGGGGUCAACUCGGAGGAAGGUGGGGAUGACGUCAAGUCAUCAUGCCCCUUAUGUCCAGGGCUUCACGCAUGCUACAAUGGCUGGUACAGAGAGUGGCGAGCCUGUGAGGGUGAGCGAAUCUCGGAAAGCCGGUCUCAGUUCGGAUUGGGGUCUGCAACUCGACCUCAUGAAGUCGGAGUCGCUAGUAAUCGCAGAUCAGCAACGCUGCGGUGAAUACGUUCCCGGG